rnacentral:lncRNA from 1 species
GCCCGCCCGCUCUCGCUCUCGCUCUCCCUCUCGCUGUGGUUUUUGUAAGGUAGGUUGCAGCGCGUGUGUGUGUACACAACAUCGAGAGCAGGAAAAUGGACUCAUUAGGGAGGCAGGCGGUCGGGAGCGCUCGCGCUGUAGUGCCGGGGAGACGGAGGCUAUGAGGAGGCAAACUGAGGACGGGGGAACAAGCAGCAUAAAGAAGAAGUGUUGAGAGCUGCUCUCAGCCCUUUUGGAGUCCGAAGUCAAAAGGGAACUAGGGGGCUUGACACAUCCCUUGCAUCUUCCAUUUACUCUGACCACAGUCCCUCCCUGUUCUCUCAAGUGGAGCUAAGCCCUGCUUCCCUCCCUCUUGAUUCCCAGACAGCUACAUGUUUUUCCAUAUCUGACCUUCAGUUGUAAGUGGGAGGAAACAUCGAAGGGCUGAGAUACAAGGUAAAGCUGCAGCUUUCUUUUCCUUGAGGUGGCUUGUGAGUGCUUCAAGAAGAAUUCUGGAGGAGGAGGAGAGAAAAAAAGGGAAAAAAAAAAAAAAAAAAACUCUGUUCUUGGCAUCACGUGCUGCUUUUCCCCUCUGUGUAAUCUUGUAACUGAACCUGGCUUGAAGAUGGAAUGGGUUCCUUGGGUUUCAUGCAGCAUGCAUGAAAUCCAAGGAUCCAUCCCUCCGUGGCUCCUGUGGCAAAAGGAGGAGGAGAUGGAGAGCAAGAGAAAGCCUAUGCCAUCGUUGUAGCUGAAAAGCAUUGGGACAAAUGCCAUCAGAAUAUAAAUGCUGUUUAUUGCAUUUUCAUUUAAAAUUGUUUAACUUAAAAACUCUUAGUGACAGAGGGAAUGUAAAUCUGAGGCUGAGAGCCUGAGUCACCAGCAGAAGUUUAUUAUUGCUCCUGAUAACAGCUGAAUUCCAGCCUUC